GUCUGCGUGGUGUAGUGGUCAACACGCUCGAUGCGUAUUCGGUAAGUCUGUGGUUCGAGUCCCGGCGAAGGCA
rnacentral:tRNA from 1 species